rnacentral:pre_miRNA from 10 species
CGUUUGUACCUGGUGUGAUUAUAAAGCAAUGAGACUGAUUGUCAUAUGUCGUUUGUGGGAUCCGUCUCAGUUACUUUAUAGCCAUACCUGGUAUCUUA